UGGUUAGGGAAGAAUAAACCUGAUGCCAUGAGAUAAUCAAGAAAAUUGGUGAGCUCGGAAUAAGUUCGCAAUCCAUCAGUUUACCGUGAAAUGAAAUUUAUAGAGUGAAAUUCAUAAGAUGAAAUUUAAUAGUUGAAUGAUGAGGGACCCCUUAGGGUUCUACUGGUGGUACACGCGGAGAUUUUCAGAGCUCCAGCUCCGCGGAAUGGGAGUCCCAUCUAGAGACUCCAAUUGAUAAGCUCCGGGCCGGCGAAUGCACGUGAUUCGGUAUGGUCCUUUCCAAUUCGGGGCCAGCUUCCCUCGCUCAGUUGGUCGGGAGGUUUCAGCUCUUCUUAGGACAAGGUCCCCUGGUCUGAAAGAUUUGACUUUGACCCUGGCGUUGUAGUACUGAGCUGUCUUUUGUUGGUACCUCGCCAUACGCACUCGGACGACCUCCCUUGUUUCCUCGAUCAAGUCGAGGUUGCCUCUGAGCUGCGAAGAGUUAGAGCUAGCAUCAUGGUGCUCGACUCUUGGAGAGGGGAG
rnacentral:lncRNA from 1 species